GUGCCAGCCGCCGCGGUAAGACGGAGGGUGCAAGCGUUGCUCGGAAUCACUGGGCGUAAAGGGUGCGUAGGCGGCUUGGUCAGUCUGAUGUGAAAGCCCAGGGCCCAGCCUUGGAAGUGCAUUAGAAACUGCCAAGCUAGAGUGCCGGAGGGGAGAGUGGAAUUCCUGGUGUAGCGGUGAAAUGCGUAGAUAUCAGGAGGAAUACCGGUGGCGAAAGCGACUCUCUGGACGGUAACUGACGCUGAGGCACGAAAGCGUGGGGAGCAAACAGGAUUAGAUACCCUGGUAGUCCACGCCGUAAACGAUGGACACUAGGUGUCGGGGGUAUCCACUCCCUCGGUGCCGCCGUUAACGCAGUAAGUGUCCCGCCUGGGAAGUACGGCCGCAAGGUUAAA
rnacentral:rRNA from 1 species